AAUUUUCUCCUUUUAUACCAGUCUUCUGUUCUUCAUCGAUACUAGACUAGACAUGUUUCUGUGAUUGCCCAAUAGUGAUUUAUUCAUCAUUGUCCAUACCAUCUUCAUGAUUCAUCAACUUUUGGCUGAAUUACGUGACAAUGUCAAGGAAAUGGGCAAUUAAAUGUGAUAAUAAGUGAUACCUACAGUUUUAGAAGGGUUUAAAACGGAAAGAAAAUGUCAGUAGCUUAUUAAACCAUAGUGUUGUGUGAUAAAAGUUUCUGAUUUUAAGUUCCAGGUGCAGUGGACUAAAUUGAUCUGGGAAAAAAGUUUUUCUACCCUCUUAUUUAGUGGAGGCCAUAUGCAUACAUCUAAAAGCCAGCUUGGACAAACUUUUCAAGUUUGUGAUUGAAGAAACUGAUUUAAAUAGAUAUAUGUGUUGUCAUGCUCCCACUACAUGCAACUACAAGGCUGGAAAAAAUUGAUGAGUACUUGCUUCACUUGUGUUUGUGCAGCUAUACUCGCUACUUCGACCAGCUGUUGAUAUAGCAGAAAUAUUUCUUUGGCUCAUAUUGACCCUUUUUCAGUUAAUCUUUUUAUUUUAUUCUGAGGUUACCAUUUACAACAAUUUUCUCUUUUAGAUCUCAUUUUGUUUCCGUUUUCCACAAUCUGGAAGAGGGUUUAGUAAAUAGUAUUUGUGAAGAGGAAAGGGGACAAUAUUUAGAAGUGAUCAUUUAUGUAUUUAGGGCAUAAUCUAGACCCAUUUGAUUGCAUACUAGACCCAUUUGAAGACAAGUUACAAGUAAUGUUGAUCUCAUGUUAGGCAGCUCCAAAUCCACCUUAACUAAUUUUAUUAUCCAAACUGAAGUUGCUUUGCUUAUAUCAUUGAUGCUGAAACUACUAAUAAUGAACAAGCAUGCUGCAAAUGAAAUUUAUAUAAGCCAGACUAGGUCAAGUUCUCGGUUAAUGUUUGGAAGCUAAGAGUGUAACCUCUAAAAUCUUUGAACUGAGCCUCAUUGUUGAUUGAACUUCAUGGUUGUUUCUCUUAUUUGGAGUUUUUGGCUUGAUGAUUUGAUUUGUGUCAAUUUGACUUUUUUUUUUUAUUCUGGGUGAGGUUGGAUUAACUCCUCCCGGGUAGUAUUUGACAAUUAUACUACUUGCAGGUGCAUUUGUUGGAUGUUCAUUUGAAGGCAAUACUGUCAUGAAAACUGACUUAGGACUUUAGUAGAGAAGAAAAAUGCUAUAUGUUUUCUCUUGCUUCUUUCAUGUCUUUUCUUCUUCCUUCUAAUAAUUAGCAAAUGGAUGUUUUAGAGUUAGCUUGAAAUUAUUUUUCUCUUUGUUCUUAACUUUAACUAUAUCAAGUCCUCUGGCAUCCUCUGCCUAGCUUAAUUGUUAUGUUCUUAAGCAUCCAUUUGUCUAGCAGUAGUACCAUACAAUUAUAAAAAAAACUUACAUCAUUUCAUUCCUUGAAUACUGAUUAUGACGAACAAUGAUUUUAUGGGUUCUGACUUCUGAUGGGAAAUUUUAUUACACUUAACAGAUUGUGGUGGAUGCAGUUUCUGCCUCCUGGCAUGGUUACAUGUU